UACGAAGGGGGCGAGCGUUGUUCGGAAUCACUGGGCGUAAAGGGCGCGUAGGCGGCCCGCCUUGUCGCGUGUGAAAGCCCCGGGCUCAACCUGGGAAUUGCGCGCGAAACGGGCGGGCUGGAGUUCGGGAGAGGAGCGGUGGAAUUCCCAGUGUAGAGGUGAAAUUCGAUAGAUAUUGGGAAGAACACCGGUGGCGAAGGCGGCGCUCUGGACCGAGACUGACGCUGAGGCGCGAAAGCGUGGGGAGCAAACAGGGAUUAAGAUACCCUGGUACGU
rnacentral:rRNA from 1 species